rnacentral:misc_RNA from 1 species
GUCUCCGAGGCAAUCUGCGCGGGAUCCGUCACGAGAGUUGUGGUGCAGGAAGGCAUGGCAGUAUAAUCUGUUUUCCUGUUAAUUAUUUUAUUGCUGGGGCCACGACUGCUGAAGAAUAAUUUGAGGGCUGAGCUGGUGCGGCGUCGGCGGCUCCUCCAUGUCUGCCUCUGUGGUCACGUGCAUCGGCUGCCUGCAGUGCGGCGCCACGUGCGGACAGUGCGCCAGCCGCGCGCGCUCCGAGCUGGCGCUGCCGGCCGCCGGCAUCCCCGUCUGCCUGAAGCCGCGCGUGCCCGGCUGCUCGGUGCGGCUGGCGCGCGAGCCGCGUGUCUCGGGCUCGGCGCCGCAGCUCGGCCCGGCCGGCCGGCCGCCGGCGCCGCUGGCCGCGCUCGCUCCCAGCACGCGACCGGCGGCGGCCGAGCCGAGCGCGCGGUCGGCCGGCCCGCGGGCCGCCCCCACCGCCAAGGACGGGAAGCGCAUCCGAGACGUGUGCGACUUCGGCGACUCGGCCAAGGUGCCGGAGGCGGUGACGAAGAGGAAGAAGGACGACCAGCCGGCGGCGACGGCGGCUGCCACGGUGGACGGACCGGGCGCCGAGCCGGAGAUGGACGACAGGCCCGAGGCGGCGGCUAGUAACGGCGUCGGAGACCCGCCGGCCGCCGCGCCGAGUCCGACCCCAGUGGCCGAGACACCCCCGCCGCCGGCACCGGUGCACAGUCCGGCACCAGCACCAGUGCACAGUCCGGCACCAGUGCCGGUCCUCAGUCCGGCCUCGGCACAGUCGCCGCGAGCUUCCGCGCCACCUCGGCUCCUCUACCAGCCGACCCAGCCACCGUCGUUCCUCGACUCGGAUCCGGCCAGCGUCCUCCGCAAUGUGGGCGUGGCGCAGCCGGUCGAGCGCGAGCCGCGCACCAAGGCCAAGACCGGCUCGGCGCCCGCUGAGAAGGCCGACACCAGCAAGGCUGACUCGUACAGUGACUCGGACCUCGGCAGUGACGAGGACGAUUACUCUGAUAUUAGCGAUCUGAGCGACCCCGAAAACGCCGAUGACAGCUCGAAAGCGAACCCGUUCGCCGAUGGAGACGAUUCCGCCUCCGACUAUGAAGACAAUCACUCGGUGAUGAGCGGCAUGACGGUGGCGUCGGUGUCUUCCCUGACGCCCUCGCUGGUCGGCACGACGCUGGGCGGCAUCUCGCUGACGGAGACGCCGGCGGCGCCCGGCACCGACCUGCCGGCGCUCCACCUCAGCCUGUUCCCGCACGUGCCGCCCACCAUCAACUUCUGCCAGUACAACGAAAAGACGGAGGACCUGCCGGCGGCCGUGAAGCGGCUGCUCCGCUGGCGUCUGAGCACCAUCACUCCGCAGCUGGUGCGACAGACCAUCACCAACUCGGGCCUCCGACUCACCAAAAAGACGCCGAACUGGGUCGGCACCUGGGGCAAACACAUGAAGGCCGAGUGCUUCAAGGCGGUGCGCGACUUCCAGAAGGUCAACCACUUCCCGGGCACAUUCCAGAUCGGCCGCAAAGACAAGCUCUGGAAGAACAUCUCGGCACUGCAGAUCAAGUUCGGCAAAAAUGACUUUGGGUUUGUGCCGCGGACGUACGUGCUGCCCACCGACCUGAAGGAGCUGAAGGUGGCGUGGCGUCGGGACGGCGGCAAACGAAAGUGGAUCAUCAAACCGCCGGCGUGUGCGCGCGGUACGGGUAUCCGCGUGAUCCAGCGCUGGUCGCAGCUGCCCAAGAAGAAGCAGCUGAUCGUGCAGCGGUACGUUAGCCGGCCGUACCUCAUCGAGGACCGCAAGUUCGACCUGCGCAUCUACGUGUACGUCACCAGCUUCCACCCGCUGCGCGUCUACAUCCACGACGACGGCCUGGUCCGAUUCGCCUCCGUGAAGUACUCGAACGUCGGGAAGACACUGUCGGAUCGGUUCAUGCACCUGACCAACUACAGCAUCAACAAGAACUCGGACGCCUACCAGCCCAACAACGACGCUGAGCUCUGCCAGGGACACAAGUGGACGCUGAAGGUGUUCUGGGCGUACAUGCGCGAGCGGGGCGUGGACACGGACGCCUUGUGGCGACGCAUCAUCGACAUGGUGCUGAAGACGCUGAUCGCCGGCGAGCACCACAUCCUGUCGCUGUCGCGGCAGCACGUCGUCUCCAACUACUGCUGUCACGAGCUGUUCGGCUUCGACGUCCUCCUCGACGAGAAGCUGCGGCCCUGGCUGCUGGAGGUGAAUAUCAGCCCGUCGCUGCACUCGGCGGCGCCGGUCGACCUCAGUGUCAAGGGUCCGCUGGUGAGGGACCUCUUCAACAUGGCCGGCUUCCACGUGCCCAACAAGCUGUCUGCCGAGCAGCAGCGGGAGGUCAUCGGGCAGCUGUCGUGCGGCGAGGCGCUGCAACGGCUGGUGCUCGACAAGCGGCUCUACACGAGUGUCUGCAGCCAGGAGGAGCGCACCAAACAGACCGAGAUGCUCAAACUGGACAGGGCUCAGUACCUGACCAAGAUUCUGGAGUGUCUGACGCCGGACGACGUGCGCCAUCUGGUCCGGUCAGAGGACGAGCUGAGCAAACGAGGCGGUUUUGUGCGCAUCUUCCCGACUGCGAGCACUUACCACUACCACCAGUACUUUGACAAGCCGCGCUACUACAACCGCCUGCUGGACGCCUGGGAGACCAAGUACGGCCGUGAUCGCGAGCAGGGCCGCGGCCGGCUGCGCAGCCUCUGUCAGGACAAGUACCACCUGCACGUGCCCAGCAACUACCUGCGGAGAAAGAGCUGGCUCGACGUGCCCACCAUGGCCUUCCCGGAGGAUAUCUAGCCCCCAACGUUCACGGCUGAGGUGGUGGCGGCGGCCGAGGCAGCACGCAAGGCCGCCCUCCUGGCUGCCACCAGCAUCUCCACCCCGGCGGCGACCAGGACCACCAAAAGCUCGUCAUCUCUGUCGGCCAGCCGGACCGUGUCUUCCGACUCGGGCCUCAGCUCGAUGGAGACGGAGACGGCGGGCCGGCCGCGGCCGCGCACCGCCGCCGGCCGGCCCUCGCUCACCGCCCGGCCCGGCUACAAGAGCCUGCCGGCGCUGAAGCGGGCGCGCCCGGCGCGGCCGCCGUCCGCCCCCGCCCCGACCCCUGUGCCGGUGGUCAGCGCCGACCCGGCGGCGGCGGCCAUCCUGGCGGCCUCGGCGCCCGUACCGGUGGUGGUUCUGGAACCGGCGCCGGUGCCGGUCGGCGCGCUGCCGCCCACCAGCCCGCUGCGGGUACAGGGACAGCAGAUCGAGCCGUGCAGUCGGCCCGGCCACCCGUCCUGAGCGGCCGCCGCCGCCCGACCAGUGACCAAAAUAUGACCAGUGACUCGCCGCCAGUGACUGACGAGCGGCUCAGUGACGAGUCGGCAGCGCCGCAGCCAGCAGAGCGGCACGUGAUCUGUAGUCAGCGCGCGCCACGCACCGCGCUGGGGAGGGAGCCCGUACGACCCGCCCAAAUUGGAGAGCAUGAGCGGUGCUGAGGGCGCUGGGGCCGCCGGCCCGGGCGGACCGGGCAGAGGGCACCCUGUGCCUUCGCGUCUCAUCCCGUCAUCGUGAGUGCUCGCCAUGUUCGAUGCGUUCUCUUCUCGUUGUGUGAGACAGAUUCCACGCCGGAGUUGUAUCGAUAGAAUAUUUAUAUUGGUCGUUUGUAAUACAUAAUUUGGCAACAACUGAA